UUUUCCUGGUAGUUUGGCUGUGACAAGGAAUAGAGAGCCCUUGAGAGAAGGGCAGGACCAAGUGAAAGCCUUUGGUUUUUCAUUUUUGUUUUCAAAGAAUGGCAAAAACCUGCAUAUAAUACCAAUGGGGGAUCAGAAGUCAGUGGAUAAGGAGAGAUUGAAGAUGAGAGGAAAAGACCAAAAAGGCAGUCCUCUGAAAGAGAUGGGUAGGGAAGGGAUUGAGAGUCAAAGUAGAAAUGUUAGCCCCGGCACAGAAGGCCCAGCUGUUCCCUAGAGCCUGGAGGAAAGGAGGUGAUGAAGAGAGAGGGCCAGAGUAGGAGAGUCAACCUUCCAUCUUUUUAGAAAAUCUCUUUCCCUGAUUAUGAUGUUGUAGAGUUAUUUCAAUCAUGUCCAACUCUUUGUGAUACCAUUUUGGGGUGUUUUUUGAGGGGCACAGAUUCUAGAGUGCUUUGCCAUUUCCUUCUCCAGGUUAUUUUGCAGAUGAGUAUCCGAAGCAAACAGGGCUAUGCAGCUUACCCAGGAUCAGACAGCUAUUUACAGAUUGGUUUACAUGGCUACUACAAUCCUUCUUGAUGCUCACAUCUAUAAUUCUAUGAAGAAUUUUGAUAUUUAAACCUGAAGUUUGUUUACCAUAAUCAGAAGCUUUAUGUCCUUUUGAAGCACAAUGGUCUAGGACAAUGAAGUUCUCUUUUGUAGAGUUCAUCACUACAGAGGCAUACUGAUUUGAUUCGCUAGCAAAAAAGAUCUGUUGUUGAAGUUACCAGCUGUGUAUUCAGAGGACUGAGCAUGAAGCAUGACCUCCCUCCCCUUGGCAAAGAGGUGGUAACUACAGGGCCAUUACAUAUAAUAAAAAGCAGUUGUUAAAAAACAAGAAAAGAAGAGGAAAAAAGUUAACAUACUGAAAGAUAUCUGAAUAUAUGUGCAACAUUUGUGGACCUUUGACCUCUACAAAGAGGAAUAUAUGAGCAGAGAUUCAGUCCUGGGAUUUGACCGUCUGAAGGGCAAUGAAGACAAAUAUGCUCUCAGGCAGAACUGAACAUUGAAAGCCAAAUGGGAAAAGACAAGUUAUGCAAAUUAUUUAGGAGCCUCAGAAAGGACUUUAAUGGAUUUGCAAAUGGAGCACAUCAAGAAGAUAUUAAAGCAACUUUUAAUAUAAAUGUUAGAAGGAGGAAAUCACUAAAUCUUGAAACCUGGAAAACAUUGUUAAAGGUUGCACUGUCAAAUGCAGACAUCAAAGAGGCUACUUGAUUCCAGGGUCAAAGUAAGCUUUAACCUGUUGAAGCCAGUAUUAUGAUUUCUCUGGAAACUCCUCAUUGUGGGAUCUGGAACCUGUUGUUCUGAUCAGAUGACCAGCCUCCUCAGUUUUCACUAUGGACUUGUUUAUUUUGUAAAACAAGUUAUGUCAAGAGGCUCUGCCUUCUAUGAGACACCCUCUCACCUGAAGUGUAUUGAAACCCUGCCCUUACUGGCCCUCCCAGGCACUCUAGUACUUUGGUGCUGUCUUAAGUUCUGACUUGCAAUUCUUUUGCCUUGAUUAAAGACCUUUGUUUUGAAA